rnacentral:rRNA from 1 species
AGAGUUUGAUCAUGGCUCAGGACGAACGUUGGCGGCGCGCUUAAUGCAUGCAAGUCGAACGAGAACCAGUGAGUUCGUAAGAACCCGCUGGGGACAGUGGCGAACGGGUGCGUAACACGUGAGAAACCUGCCCUGGAGACCGGGAUAGCGCGGGGAAACCCGCAUUAAUACCGGAUACCUUCACCGGACCGCAUGGUCUGGUGAAGAAAUGGUCCGCCGCUCCAGGAUGGUCUCGCGGCCUAUCAGCUUGUUGGUGAGGUAACGGCUCACCAAGGCAGCGACGGGUAGCUGGUCUGAGAGGACGAUCAGCCACACUGGGACUGAGACACGGCCCAGACUCCUACGGGAGGCAGCAGCAGGGAAUAUUGCACAAUGGGCGAAAGCCUGAUGCAGCGACGCCGCGUGCGGGAUGAAGGCCUUCGGGUUGUAAACCGCUUUCAGGAGGGAAGAAAAUGACGGUACCUCCAGAAGAAGGCCCGGCCAACUACGUGCCAGCAGCCGCGGUAAUACGUAGGGGCCAAACGUUGUCCGGAAUUAUUGGGCGUAAAGAGCUCGUAGGCGGCUUGACAAGUCGGACGUGAAAACCCGGGGCUCAACCCCGGGACGCCGUUCGAAACUGUCAUGGCUAGGGUCCGGUAGAGGUGAGUGGAAUUCUAGGUGUAGCGGUGAAAUGCGCAGAUAUCUAGAGGAACACCAGUAGCGAAGGCGGCUCACUGGGCCGGUACCGACGCUGAGGAGCGAAAGCAUGGGGAGCAAACAGGAUUAGAUACCCUGGUAGUCCAUGCCGUAAACGUUGAACACUAGGUGUGGCGGACUUAUCCACGUCUGCUGUGCCGCAGCUAACGCAUUAAGCGUUCCGCCUGGGGAGUACGGCCGCAAGGCUAAAACUCAAAGGAAUUGACGGGGCCCCGCACAAGCGGCGGAGCAUGCGGCUUAAUUCGAUGCAACCCGAAGAACCUUACCUGGACUUGACAUCAUGGGUCUACCUGUAGAGAUACGGGGUGCUUUUGCGCCCAUGACAGGUGGUGCAUGGCUGUCGUC